GCCCAAGGGUCCGGGAUAACCCCGGGAAACUGGGGAUAAUACCGGAUGGAUCACUUAUGCUGGAAUGCUUGGUGGUCGAAAGGUGACGCCCUUGGAUGGGUCUGCGGCGGAUUAGGUUGACGCCGGUGUAACGUACCGGCGUGCCUGUAAUCCGUACGGGUUGUGGGAGCAAGAGCCCGGAGAUGGAUUCUGAGACACGAAUCCAGGCCCUACGGGGCGCAGCAGGCGCGAAAACUCUACAAUGCAGGCAACUGCGAUAGGGGAACAUCGAGUGGCACCCACCAUGGGUGUCUGUCCAAUCGUCUAAAAAACGAUUGUUAGCAAGGGCCGGGCAAGACCGGUGCCAGCCGCCGCGGUAAUACCGGCGGCUCGAGUGGUGGCCGAUAUUAUUGAGUCUAAAGGGUCCGUAGCCGGCUUUGCAAGUCCCCUGGGAAAUCCAGCGGCUUAACCGUUGGGCUUUCAUGGGAUACUACAUUGCUUGGGACUGGGAGAGGUAGGAGGUACUCAGGGGGUAGGGGUGAAAUCCUGUAAUCCUCUGGGGACCACCGGUGGCGAAGGCGUCCUACCAGAACAGGUCCGACGGUGAGGGACGAAAGCUAGGGGCACGAACCGGAUUAGAUACCCGGGUAGUCCUAGCCGUAAACGAUGCUCGCUAGGUGUCACGGCAGUCGUGAAUUGUCGUGGUGCCGUAGGGAAGCCGUGAAGCGAGCCACUUGGGAAG
rnacentral:rRNA from 1 species